GAUGAACGCUAGCGGCAGGCUUAAUACAUGCAAGUCGUGGGGCAGCAGGUCUGUAGCAAUACAGAUGCUGGCGACCGGCAAACGGGUGCGGAACACGUACACAACCUUCCUUUAAGUGGGGAAUAGCCCGGGGAAACCCGGAUUAAUACCCCGUAACAUAUAGAAGUGGCAUCGCUUUUAUAUUAUAGCAGCAAUGCGCUUGAAGAUGGGUGUGCGGCUGAUUAGAUAGUUGGCGGGGUAACGGCCCACCAAGUCGACGAUCAGUAACUGGUGUGAGGGCACGACCAGUCACACGGGCACUGAGACACGGGCCCGAAUCCUACGGGAGGCAGCAGUAAGGAAUAUUGGUCAAUGGACGCAAGUCUGAACCAGCCAUGCCGCGUGGAGGAUGAAGGUCCUCUGGAUUGUAAACUUCUUUUAUUUGGGAAGAAAUCUAUCUUUUCUUGGAUAGUUGACGGUACCAGAUGAAUAAGCACCGGCUAACUCCGUGCCAGCAGCCGCCGUAACAC
rnacentral:rRNA from 1 species